CCUACGGGUGGCAGCAGUGAGGAAUAUUGGUCAAUGGGCGGAAGCCUGAACCAGCCAAGUAGCGUGCAGGAUGACGGCCCUACGGGUUGUAAACUGCUUUUAUACGGGAAUAACGCGCCUUACGUGUAGGGCUUUGCAUGUACCGUAUGAAUAAGGACCGGCUAAUUCCGUGCCAGCAGCCGCGGUAAUACGGAAGGUCCGGGCGUUAUCCGGCUUUAUUGGGUUUAAAGGGAGCGUAGGCCGCAUUUCAAGCGUGCUGGGAAAUGCCCGGGCCCAACCCGGGCCUGGCAGGGGAAACUGGCGGGCUGGAGUCGGCGGAAAGCAGGCGGAAUGCGUGGUGUAGCGGUGAAAUGCUUAGAUAUGACGAAGAACCCCGAUUGCGAAGGCAGCUUGCUGCAGCGGAAGUGACGCUGAUGCACGAAAGCGCGGGUAUCGAACAGGAUUAGAUACCCGGGUAGUC
rnacentral:rRNA from 1 species